AUUGAACGCUGGCGGCAGGCCUAACACAUGCAAGUCGAGCGGAUGAAGGGAGCUUGCUCCUGGAUUCAGCGGCGGACGGGUGAGUAAUGCCUAGGAAUCUGCCUGGCAGUGGGGGAUAACGUCCGGAAACGGGCGCUAAUACCGCAUACGUCCUGAGGGAGAAAGUGGGGGAUCUUCGGACCUCACGCUAUCAGAUGAGCCUAGGUCGGAUUAGCUAGUUGGUGGGGUAAAGGCCUACCAAGGCGACGAUCCGUAACUGGUCUGAGAGGAUGAUCAGUCACACUGGAACUGAGACACGGUCCAGACUCCUACGGGAGGCAGCAGUGGGGAAUAUUGGACAAUGGGCGAAAGCCUGAUCCAGCCAUGCCGCGUGUGUGGAGAAGGUCUUCGGAUUGUAAAGCACUUUAAGUUGGGAGGAAGGGCAGUAAGUUAAUACCUUGCUGUUUUGACGUUACCAACAGAAUAAGCACCGGCUAACUUCGUG
rnacentral:rRNA from 1 species